GAUGAACGCUGGCGGCGUGCCUAACACAUGCAAGUCGAGCGAAGCACUUGCGAUUGAUCCUUCGGGUGAUUUUGCUGGUGACUGAGCGGCGGACGGGUGAGUAACGCGUGGGUAACCUGCCUCAUACAGGGGGAUAACAGUUAGAAAUGACUGCUAAUACCGCAUAAGCGCACAGUACCACAUGGUACAGUGUGAAAAAACUCCGGUGGUAUGAGAUGGACCCGCGUCUGAUUAGCUAGUUGGUGGGUAACGGCCCACCAAGGCGACGAUCAGUAGCCGACCUGANAGGGUGACCGGCCACAUUGGGACUGAGACACGGCCCAAACUCCUACGGGAGGCAGCAGUGGGGAAUAUU
rnacentral:rRNA from 1 species